UACGUAGGGGGCAAGCGUUGUCCGGAUUUACUGGGCGUAAAGAGCGCGUAGGCGGAAACGCCAGUCCGGCUUGAAAGCCCCCGGCUCAACCGGGGAGAGUGGCUGGAAACUGCGUUUCUUGAGGGCGAGAGAGGAGGGUGGAAUUCCUGGUGUAGCGGUGAAAUGCGUAGAGAUCGGGAGGAACACCGGUGGCGAAGGCGGGUCUCUGGGCUAUUCCUGACGCUGAGGCGCGAAAGCGUGGGGAGCAAACGGG
rnacentral:rRNA from 1 species